GAUGAACGCUAGCGGCAGGCUUAACACAUGCAAGUCGAGGGGUAGAAGCAGCUUGCUGCUUUGAGACCGGCGCACGGGUGCGUAACGCGUAUGCAAUCUACCUUUUACAGAGGGAUAGCCCAGAGAAAUUUGGAUUAAUACCUCAUAGUAUGUGAGAAUCGCAUGGUUUUCACAUUAAAGUUCCAACGGUAAAGAUGAGCAUGCGUCCCAUUAGCUAGAUGGUAAGGUAACGGCUUACCAUGGCGACGAUGGGUAGGGGGUCCUGAGAGGGAGAUCCCCCACACUGGUACUGAGACACGGACCAGACUCCUACGGGAGGCAGCAGUGAGGAAUA
rnacentral:rRNA from 1 species